AGAGGACAUCGCAAAUGGUCACAUCCGAAGGGAACAGGAGACGCCGCGGCCGACGGAGGAGACGCCGGGGCCGACGGAGCAAACCGUGCCCUCUCCUUGCUUGUCUAUUCAAAAAUAAAAAAUCUAAGUUAAUAAACACGAGUCAAAGUCUUUAAUAUCCUGGCAUCUUUACGCACGACUUAUGUGUAUUGUAAGCAGCCAAUUGUAUGACCAGUAUAAUUACAGCAUUUAUGAAUUCAGCAUAUUUACCUUGGGGAUGAUCGGUGUCCCCUUCAUGGGCUCCCACCACUCCGGUGAGAGCUGUGUCACCGAUCAAAGCGGCCACUCUCAAAUCGAAGGGGGAGAGUUCCCCCACUCCCGUCCCCCCACCUGUUGCGGUCACGCUUCGGCGGUGGGCAGAAACCCUCCGCUUCACCUCCACCUUGAGGUCUGACCACUUUUUUUUAAUUUCAGAGUGUGUGUGCUGCUGAGACCCCACUGCAUUGACGGCCUCGCAAACACGCUCCCACUCAUUUUUCUUUUGUUUAGCAUUUAUCCCUGUUGACAGGGUACCAAAUAACAUAUGCUUGCGCAUUUCUACCUCGUGGAGCAAAAUCUCGAGCUCGGACUCCGUGAAGUUGCGUUUUUUAACUCUGUUCAUGGUGCCAGGCGAUCGGAUUAAGAGAUGAAUCUCAGGUCCAGAGGCCUAUUUAAAUGAAAUUGCAUAUUUAAAUGAGGGCGUGGACAGGGAGGAGUUUGGCACGUCGGCAUGUGCGCUCAAUUCCACGUUGAUUGAGAUGUACAAAAGAAACGUGCUUGGAUCCAUGCGUUCGCACACUUUGAUACAUCUGAAUUUAUUUGUGCGUAAGACAGUUUCUGGGUUUUGGCGUACGCCAAGUUUCAGUAUGAAAUCCACGCAAGUCUUAGUACAUGAGGCCCCAGGUCCUCAACAGGCUUGCCCCAGUCGUUGAACCAGCCGUCGUCCCUCAACAAGCUGGAUUCCGACCCGUCAAAUCCACAACAAGUCAACUUCUGAAUCUCACACAGCACAUAGAAGACGGGUUCCAUAAAGGUCUGGUGACAGGAGCCGACGCCGUCUUUGUUGAUGUCUGCCGCAUGUGACUCUGUGUACCUCCGCCUCCUCCUGAAAAAGAUCUUGGAGAAGACCUGGCACUGACAGACCUCAUCUGAGCCCUCUUGAAAGAUAGGCAUUUCUUUGUUGUCCUUAACAACAAGCAAACGGAAUAGCUUACCUCAAGGUAGUGUGCUGGCUCCACUACUAUAUAACAUCUACACCAAUGAACAGCCAAUGGACAAGACCACUGAACGGUUCAUCUACGCUGUCGACCUCUGUGUAACAUCCCAAGAGAACACGUUUAAAGCUGUAGAAGCGAAUCUCACCUCAGCCCUAGCUGAGCUACACUUCUACUACAAGCGCAACCACCUGCACACAAACCCUGCGAAGACCCAAGCCUGCUCGUUCCAUCUCAGGAACCGGGAAGCAAACAGACCUCUUAACAUCACAUGGUCUAGAGCA